AACAGAGUGAGAAAUGAAGACUUUCCUCCAAUUCCUUAUUAUUGCAGUGAAGACCUCAGAUCCAACUCUGAUCUCACUCUUGU
ensembl:snoRNA